GGUAAUUUAGCCAUUUAAACCAGCUCUGAUGGAUCAAGGACACAUCUAAAACCUGCAGGACACCGGCCCUCGAGGCCUGGAGUUCGACACCUGUGCACUAAAUGUAGGUGGAUCGAUACCAACUCUAGUAUUGGUAUCUGAUCGAUGCUAGCUCGUUAGGAUCGAUACUUUGUUUCUAUCCCCCUUAAGUUCAGUAGGUAUAAUUGUAUUAAAUAAAUAAAGUUUUGGGAAAUUUGGAUUUCAAUCGCAGCUCACACCCUGUAUUUUCACUUCCCGGCAGACUCGAGAGGAUUUUGUCAUACGCUCCGACAAACCUACACAUGCUGUAAAAAUGUGGGCAAAAGUGAUUAUUUUCUUGUGCUAGUCUAAGUGUGCUUGUGUUAUUUGUUUUUUUACAUGAUCGUUUACAAAUACCGUACAAACAAACACCCCUCUUCCCCUGCGCUGGUCCACAAUGCAGAGUCUUGUGAAUUGGCGUGUGUUUAUUAGCUUUUUGGUCGUUUUUUACCAACAAAAUGUUGUCAAAGUGGAAAUGUGCGGAGGGCUGACUGAGGAGAAGCAGGCUGAUGAAGCAGUUCAGAACAUCUGUGAUGCAAUGAAGCCUCUCGCAGAGCAGAAAACCGGGAGAAACUUUGAGGUUUUCACUGCAAAGAGCUACAAAACACAAGUCGUAGCUGGGACCAACUACUUCAUUAAGUGAAGCUUAAAACCCUCUUGGAUGGAA